AUUGACCUUGAAAGUCAAGGCCAUUUAUAUAUGAAGGUCAAGUUUAGUCGUUAUGAUCAAGGUUAACGUUUUUGGAUGGCAACGGCAAUGGGAACGCCGCCAUGACUGUAAUAAUACCUCCAUUUUUCACAUAGUAAAAUCUCAAUAUAAGAAUUUAAGGUAUGUUUUGGCCUUUUAAUCGUAAAGUAAAUUUAGGGGUCUACACGCUGUAUUAUUAUUUUUCCCGCAAAAUGUCAAGGCCGUCGUAAAGUACCUCCAAAUAAAAGAGUACUUGACCUUUGUUUACAAACAGCGAGUGAGAGGUGAAUGGUUACCAUAUAUAAGGUGCAUGUCACAGUAGUUUAGGACAGAAUUUUAAAAAGAUAACAGUUUAAGUGUAUGAGAUACUAUUCCUAGUGUAGUUGGUGUAUUGGUAUAUAUUAUAUAUAUACCUGGAUUAUAGGAAGUUGACUUGUAUUAUAAUGGAGGGGAAAAUAAAUACAGGUAAGUUAUGAUGCUGAUAUUUCUUUAAUAUAUUCGAAUAUUGUACAGAAACAAUUUUCUACAAAUUUUUAUUCUGUAAUUUUUGUAAGAUUUUUUUUAUAUAAUUAUUCCUACAUCAGAUUUAUGCAUGUUACUUGGCAUUCAUAGUUCAAACAGGUAACUAAGCUGUUUAUAUGUAACACCCAUUAUAUAGAGGAUAUUUGUUUGUUUCAGUGUAAGAUCGAAAAAUAUUUCACCGAGUGAACACCAGAUGCAAUAUUUUCCACGAGUGGCGUAGCCACGAGUGAAAAUAUAAUAGCUGGGGUUCACGAGUGAAAUAUUAUUUGAUCUUACAUGUAAAACAAACAAAUUUUCUGUUUAUUUCAUGAUUUUUUAACGAUUUUUACACCAUUUUACUGAUUUUUGCCGCGUAACGUCAUGCUCUUAUCUUCAUGACGUCAUCAAAUAAUGACGUCACAAUGUUGAAGCAAAAUAUAAUUCCAUGAUUAUUUUUAGAUUUUAGAUGUUUUUCAGCACAACGUUCGUAAAUAUUUACGAACUACAGUUAUCACGUACAUUUGUUAUUAUGAUUGACUACAUUUCCGCUGAAAAAAAACAUUCAUUAAUGAUAAAUAUUUUAUUUUUACGCCAAAUAUAGUUCGGCUACUGUGAAAUUAUAUUUGGUAAUCAUUACUGUGAAAUUAUCAGAAUAUAAUUAACCGUUAUAAUUCAGUAAUCUACUGCAAAACAUGUAAUAAAAAGAGUUAUAAGUCAGUUAAAGACUUUGAACUGUUAAGUUCAGCAUUAAGAUAUUUUUCUGAUGCAUAAUACCACUUUUUAUGUUCAUGUUGGAUUUUUCCUUAUCAUUUAAGUAUACUCAACCGUUUGAAAUAAAUGCUGUUUUACUUUAAAGAAAGCAGAAUAAGUUUGUAUUUAACCUACCUAGUUCAUGGACACAUUACUACAUUUUAUACAUAAACAUGCAUUAUAUUAGAUUUUUACAAUGGUCUAUGACAUUUUAUCUGUCAGUGUGUGUACAUGUAAUUGUUGAAAACUACACAUGUUCAAUCAGAUAAAAGUUUGAGAUAAGCAUUUUGAAAUUUAAGACUAUAGUUCACUCUGGUAUAACUAACAAUUUUAGUUUUAUAGCAUUAUUUAUGUAAACUUUAUUGUGAAGAUAGCUUUUAACUUAUAUGAACCACUUGUGAGUCCAUUUCUCAGUACUUACAUGUACCAGUGGAAACAUGGUUGUGACUCCAGCAAGGCACAAACCCACAAUCCCUGGGUUGAGAGGCAGAUUCCAUUGGGCCAUCACUCCCUUUUAACAGAUUUGACCAUAUAAAAUGAUGAACAUGAUGAAAAUCAUUUGUCUAUAGCACCUUUUAUAUUUAUGCCCCCAUUUCGAAGAAAAGGGGGUAUAUUGCUUUGCACUUGUCGGUCCGUCGGUCCGUAGACCAAAUGGUUUCCGAGUGAUAACUAAAGAACCCUUAGGCCUAGGAACUUCAAACUUGGUAUGGUGAUUGGUCAUGACAAGUAGAUGACCCCUAUUGAUUUUGGGGUCAAGGGGUCAAAGGUCAAGGUCACAUUGACCUUGUAAGCAAAAACGGUUUCCGAUCAAUAACUAAAGAACCUUUAGGCCUAGGAACUUCAAACUUGGUAUGGUGAUUUGUCAUGAUCAGUAGAUGACCCCUAUUGAUUUUGGGGUCAAAGGUCAAGGUCACAUUGACCUUGUAAGCAAAAACGGUUUCCGAUCAAUAAGUAAAGAACCUUAAGGCCUAGGAACUUCAAACUUGGUAUGGUUAUGGUCAUGAUCAGUAGAUGACCCCUAUUGAUUUUGGGGUCAAGGGGUCAAAGGUCAAGGUCACAUUGACCUCUUGGGUAAAAACGGUUUCCGAUCAAUAACAAAAAAACCCUUAGGCCUAGGAACUUCAAACUUGGUAUGGUGAUUGGUUAUGACCAGCAGAUGACCCCUAUUGAUUUUGGGGUUAAGUGGUCAAAGGUCAAGGUCACAUUGACCUUGUAAUUAAAAACGGUUUCCUAUCAAUAACGAAAGAACCCUUAGGCCUAGGGAAUCAAACUUGAUAUGGUGAUUGGUCAUGAUCAGUAGAUGACCCCUAUUGAUUUUGGGGUUAAGGGGUCAAAGGUCAAGGUCACAUUGACCUUGUAGGUAAAAACGGUUUCCGAUCAAUAACGAAAGAACCCUUAGGCCUAGGAACUUCAAACUUGGUAUGGUGAUUGGUCAUGAUCAGUAGAUGACCCCUAUUGAUUUUGGGGUCAAGGGGUCAAAGGUCAAGGUCACAUUGACCUCUUGGGUAAAAGCAGUUUCCGAUCAAUAACUAAAGAACCCUUAGGCCUAGGAACUUCAAACUUGGUAUGGUGAUUGGUCAUGACAAGCAGAUGACCCCUACUGAUUUUGGGGUUAAGGGGUCAAAGGGCAAGGUCACAUUGACCUUGUAGGUAAAAAUGCUUUCCGAUCAAUAACUUAAGAACCCUUAGGCCUAGGAACUUCAAACUUGGUAUGGUGAUUGGUCAUGACCAGCAGAUGACCUUUUGUUUUUAGGGUCAAGGGGUCAAAGGUCAAGGUCACAUCGACCUUGUAAGUAAAAACGGUUUCUGAUCAAUAACUUAAGAACGCUUAGGCCUAGGAACUUCAAACUUGGUAUGGUGAUUUUUCAUGACCAGCAGAUUACCCCUUUCGAUUUUGGGAUCAAGGGGUCAAAGGUCAAGGUCACAUUGACCUUGUAAGUAAAAACGGUUUCUGAUCAAUAACUAAAGAACGCUUCGGCCUAGGAACUUCAAACUUGGCAUAGUGAUUGGUCAUGAUCAGUAGAUGACCCCUAUUGAUUUUGGGGUCAAAGGUCAAGGUCACAUUGACCUUGUAUGUUAAAAUGGUUUCGGAUCAAUAAUAAAAGAACCCUUAGGCCUAGGAACUUCAAACUUGGCAUGGUGAUUAGUCAUGACCAGCAAAUGACCCCUAUUGAUUUUGGGGUCAAGGGGUCAAAGGUCAAGGUCACAUUGACCUUGUAAGUAAAAACGGUUUCUGAUCAAU